rnacentral:rRNA from 1 species
GGGGUGGCGCACGGCUCAGUAACACGUAGUCAACCUACCCUAGGGACGGGGAUAACCUCGGGAAACUGAGGCUAAACCCCGAUAGGCUAUAGCCUCUGGAAUGAGCUAUAGCUGAAAUCUAUAUGGCCCUAGGAUGGGACUGCGGCCGAUCAGGUAGUUGGUGGGGUAAUGGCCCACCAAGCCUAUAACCGGUGCGGGCUCUGAGAGGAGGAGCCCGGAGAUGGGCACUGAGACAAGGGCCCAGGUCCUAUGGGGCGCAGCAGGCGCGAAACCUCCGCAAUGGGCGAAAGCCCGACGGGGUUAGUCCGAGUGGUCCCUGCUGAAGGGGCCUUUUGCCGGCUGUAAAAAGGCUGGCGAAUAAGGGGUGGGCAAGUUUGGUGUCAGCCGCCGCGGUAAUACCAGCACCCCGAGUGGUCGGGACGAUUAUUGGGCCUAAAGCAUCCGUAGCCGGCUUAGCAAGUCCUCCGUUAAAUCCAACGGCUUAACCGUUGGGCUGCGGAGGAUACUGCUAAGCUAGGGGGCGGGAGAGGCGAGGGGUAUUCCCAGGGUAGGGGUAAAAUCCGUUGAUCCUGGGAGGACCACCAGUGG